rnacentral:rRNA from 1 species
CCUACGGGUGGCUGCAGUGAGGAAUAUUGGUCAAUGGACGAGAGUCUGAACCAGCCAAGUAGCGUGAAGGAUGACUGCCCUAUGGGUUGUAAACUUCUUUUAUAUGGGAAUAAAACGUUCCACGUGUGGGAUUUUGUAUGUACCAUAUGAAUAAGGAUCGGCUAACUCCGUGCCAGCAGCCGCGGUAAUACGGAGGAUCUGAGCGUUAUCCGGAUUUAUUGGGUUUAAAGGGAGCGUAGGUGGAUUAUUAAGUCAGUUGUGAAAGUUUGCGGCUCAACCGUAAAAUUGCAGUUGAAACUGGCAGUCUUGAGUACAGUAGAGGUGGGCGGAAUUCGUGGUGUAGCGGUGAAAUGCUUAGAUAUCACGAAGAACUCCGAUUGCGAAGGCAGUUCACUGGACUGCAACUGACACUGAGGCUCGAAAGUGUGGGUAUCAAACAGGAUUAGAUACCCUUGUAGUC